rnacentral:rRNA from 1 species
CCUACGUGAGGCAGCAGUGAGGAAUAUUGGUCAAUGGGCGCGAGCCUGAACCAGCCAAGUAGCGUGAAGGAUGACUGCCCUACGGGUUGUAAACUUCUUUUAUAAAGGAAUAAAGUGAGGCACGUGUCCCUUUUUGUAUGUACUUUAUGAAUAAGGAUCGGCUAACUCCGUGCCAGCAGCCGCGGUAAUACGGAGGAUCCGAGCUUUAUCCGGAUUUAUUGGGUUUAAAGGGAGCGUAGAUGGGUUGUUAAGUCAGUUGUGAAAGUUUGCGGCUCAACCGUAAAAUUGCAAUUGAUACUGGCAGUCUUGAGUACAGUUGAGGUAGGCGGAAUUCGUGGUGUAGCGGUGAAAUGCUUAGAUAUCACGAAGAACUCCGAUUGCGAAGGCAGCUUACUAAACUGCCACUGACAUUGAUGCUCGAAAGUGUGGGUAUCAAACAGGAUUAGAUACCCUUGUAGUC